GCGCGAAUCAAGACUAUGUGGACUUCUAAGUCGAUUGAUCAUGGCAUGUUUGCUCGCUGCUCUGGUUGCUAAAAUGAUGGGAAUUUGCCAAGGGAGCAAUUCGUAGUUUCAGCAUCAAGAACUGCUCAUCUUCCAUCAGACACCGGCGAUCUCUGACAUAUGUAAGAUCGCCACCUCCCGACGGAGGCGACGGAUGAAUAGAAGUUCGUCUUCCCGAAACAGAGUCCCCAGCGAACCGGCGGCGACGGAGGCCAGCAAGCGACAACGGCUGACCGGAGCCACGGAAAUUGAUGGGGAAGCUUUUGGGUGAAUGGUUCUCUCCUUUGAGGUUCAGGGCGUCAUGCAGCUUGCUGUAGAUCAGGCAACAAGACAUGCAGAGAUGGACGCUCUUGAUGUUCUUCUUCAAUAGGCAGAGGACAAGAUUUUUGGCUGCAAAAGUAGCAGAAAAGUUUUAAGCAUGCUCCCUUUAUGUGACAUUUGAACCAUGCAUGAUGUAUGCAGCAGCAUUAUCAAUCAUUGGUACAUCAAUUUAUCAUACUAAAAUAAAACUGAACUUUCUUAGAAUUUGUUUGUUCAUAAAUGAUUAGAGGACUCUUAACCACUUUUUGUUAAAAAUGAAGUAUAUCAUGGCCGUGCAAAUGAAGUGUAUCAUGGCCGUGCAAAUGAUAACUUUGGAGGCUGUGGCUCGAUACCGUCGUUGCAUUCCAGUACCUCUGAGGCAUGCAUUAGGAAUAUGGUCUGCUGAUUCAAUUUGGCUCCACUAGAUAAUGUUGGAGAUAGUAUCGAAGAUAUCAAAGAUUCCGAGAUCCAGAUCUGCUGGUAAUCCUAAUCAAGGAUUGAUUGAAUUGGAGAAAGAGUAAUUUGUGGGAUCUAUUUAGCAAAUAGGAAUUUUAUUAUUCAUUGUAUAUUAUUUCCUUUUCACUUUCGUUCUUUCUUACAUUAUAAAUGUAUACAGUGUAACUGUAAAUGAAUCAAUACAGAACAAAAAACUUUUUUCUCCA